rnacentral:lncRNA from 1 species
ACUGUCUGAUUCAAUUUGAUAAGGUGAAAAGCUAUAGCAGUGACCUGUAGCAAGUAGCUGAAAAGGUGGCAUCUAAUGACUCCUACCGCCUGAUAAUUUUUCCUAUUAAAAUCAGGUACAAAUAUCUAUCACAUUUAAAGUGACUGAAGGGAAAUUGGAUAUUGGACAGUGGCUGAGACAUAGAAACAGACAUUAGAGAUACAAUAAAUCAAUUUUAUCAAGUUCCAUAGGUGUGUGUAUCCAUUUGGCUUUUCUGUUACUCGGUGCCAUCUGAAAAUUCUGUUGGACUUUUUAUCUACAAAAAGAAGUAAGACAUGGUUUUGGACAUCGAGGAACAUUGUCAACCAAUCAAC